rnacentral:rRNA from 1 species
GCGGUUUGUUAAGUCAGAUGUGAAAGCCCGGGGCUCAACCUCGGAACCGCAUUUGAAACUGGCAGGCUAGAGUCUUGUAGAGGGGGGUAGAAUUUCAGGUGUAGCGGUGAUAUGCGUAGAGAUCUGAAGGAAUACCAGUGGCGAAGGCGGCCCCCUGGACAAAGACUGACGCUCAGAUGCGAAAGCGUGGGUAGCAAACAGGAUUAGAUACCCUGGUAGUCCACGCCGUAAACGCUGUCUACUUGGAGGUUGAGGUUUAAGACUUUGGCUUUCGGCGCUAACGCAUUAAGUAGACCGCCUGGGGAGUACGGCCGCAAGGUUAAAACUCAAAUGAAUUGACGGGGGCCCGCACAAGCGGUGGAGCAUGUGGUUUAAUUCGAUGCAACGCGAAGAACCUUACCUACUCUUGACAUCCAGAGAACUUUCCAGAGAUGGAUCGGUGCCUUCGGGAACUCUGAGACAGGUGCUGCAUGGCUGUCGUCAGCUCGUGUUGUGAAAUGUUGGGUUAAGUCCCGCAACGAGCGCAACCCUUAUCCUUGUUUGCCAGCACGUAAUGGUGGGAACUCCAGGGAGACUGCCGGUGAUAAACCGGAGGAAGGUGGGGACGACGUCAAGUCAUCAUGGCCCUUACGAGUAGGGCUACACACGUGCUACAAUGGCAGAUACAGAGGGCAGCGAAGCUGCGAAGUGGAGCGAAUCCCUUAAAGUUUGUCGUAGUCCGGAUUGG